UAAAUUGAAGAAGAGGGGCAUAUGGAGGUGGCAAAAGACUUUCGUCCCCGAAUUGGCUAUCAGAAAUGGAGAAAGCAGAACCUGAAGCACCUCAUGUCCUCAUCUUGCCAAUCCCUGCUCAAGGCCAUCUCAAACCCAUGUUGAAGCUAGCAGAGCUUCUCAGCUACGCUAGUUUCCAAAUCACCUUCCUAAACACUGAAUACUUCCACCAUACAUUCCUUUCCUCUAUCGACAUCCACGCCUUCUCUCGCCGCUUCCCUAAAUUUCAAUUCGUAACAAUCCCAGAUGGUAUACCACCUGAUUCUCCACGCCCCGGAAAAAGUAUCGCUCAUUCUUUAAUCUCUCUUACGGAUGCAGCUAAGCCUGCCGUUGUUGAGGUGCUGGUUUCUCUCAGAUCUAAAUCAGGGCGGCCUCCCACCUGCAUAAUAGCUGAUGGGAUAAUGUCGUCUGCUGCUGUUGCUGCUGGUGAGGAAUUUGGGAUCCCUGUUUUAGCUUUUCGCACCUACAGUGCUUGUUGCACCUGGACUUACUUCCACUUGUCCAACCUCAUUGAAGGAGGGGAAGUCCCAUUACCAGAUAAAGACAUGGACAAGCUAGUGACUUGCAUUCCUGGUUUGGAGAAUGUUUUACGACGUCGAGAUCUUCCAAGUUUUUGUAGGCUUGAGAAAGCCGACGAUCAUCUGCUCUACGACUUCUUCAUCGCCCAAGCUUCGGCCAUGCGACGAGCAUCUGCUCUCAUCCUCAACACGUUCGAACAACUUGAAACACCCUUUAUAUCUAAGCUCGCUUCUAUUUUCUCCAAAAUUUACACUAUCGGACCAUUGCAUUGUCUCUCCAAUGUGGACGACCCAACAGCUUUAGCUUCAACAAAAAGUAUUUUUUGGCAAGAAGAAAAAGGUUGCCUCACUUGGCUUGAUUCUCACCCAUCAAAAUCAGUUGUGUUCGUUAGCUUUGGGAGUGUAGUGACCUUCACCCUUGACCAAAUGCUUGAAUUUUGGCAUGGCUUGGUUAACAGUGGGAAACCAUUUCUAUGGGUCAUACGGUCCAACGCCAUUAUUGGAGAGGAUGAUCCAAGGAAAAUAUUGGAGGACCUGAAAGACAAUACAAAAGGGAAGGGAUCGAUAGUGAGUUGGGCACCUCAAGAAGAGGUCUUAGCCCACCCUGCUGUGGGUGCAUUCUUGACUCAUAGCGGUUGGAACUCCACCUUGGAGAGUAUAUACGCAGGGGUUCCCAUGAUUUGCUGGCCUCUAUUUGUGGAUCAAUAUGUCAACAGCAGAUGCGUGAGUCAUGUGUGGAGAGUAGGUUUUGAUAUGAAAGAUAGUUGUCAUAGAUCCAUUGUUGAAAAAAUGGUUAGGGACGUGAUUGAAAUGAAGAAUGAAGAAAUAAUGAAGUCAAUGGAAGAGAUUUCAAAGCAAGCUCAAGAGAGUGUCAAGGAAAGUGGGCCUUCUUACUGCAACUUGGACAAAAUGAUUCAAGACAUAAUGUCAGUCAAUCUGGAAAACAUUAAUAGAAGAGAUUGAGGUAACCAUUUUUCAGGUCAAUUUUAAACAAAAAUUAGGAAAAUGAACCAGUUUCUGAAAUGAUUAGGAAAAUUGGCCAAUUUUGGAUAAAAAAGACGAAAACAAGUUCUGUAGGACGAUUUUUCUGACUUCUUUAAACAUUAGCUCUUUCUGUCUCCUUUUGUGCAUUGAAACAGUUCAACCAUGUGCUGCCUAGUUUCCUAUCCUGUAUUAUUGCCCACCAAGGACGCAUAUUGAAGCCAAAUACACCCAAGGGUGCUGCAUAUAUGGUAUAGAAGAAAAUCUCAGUUCCUAAAACGUUGUGUUCAUUUCUUAAAAUAAGGUUGUGUUGAACCAAUUUGUUGAGUGAACACAAACGUGCUUUUUUGACCAAAUGAACACAAAUUGGUUUGAUUUGGUCAAAAGAGCAUACAAACUGCUUUAGGUUUAAAGUAUCAAUGUAUUGUUUGAUAUCAUCCACACCUUGUGCUUCAUAUAUUUUCUUCAAGUAAGUCACUUCACCA